CCUGCUCGUUGUUAACACAAUCAGAUAACAUGUACUGCUCUCCUCGGUUUCUGAAUCUUCAUACAGCUCAGCAUGCAGGUGCGCUCCCAUUUAAUCUUUUCUUGCAUUCUGAUCUUGCUUCGAGUGUAGCAGCUCCUUUUAAUGCUUCAACAAGUUCAUCAACACUUAAUCAAUCAGACAAAGAUAACUGACACUGCUAGUAUAAGGAGCAAUAUCUACUGGGCUCCUAGCUACAAGCACAGGAUCGGAGGAGGAUGGUUUAGAGUUUUACAUGUUGCAGCUGAAGCUGUGAGCGUCAAGAUGUCGCUUG